rnacentral:rRNA from 1 species
CACGUAGGGGGCGAGCGUUGUCCGGAUUCAUUGGGCGUAAAGCGCGCGCAGGCGGCUCGGAAAGUCGGGUGUGAAAACUCGGGGCUCAACCCCGGGCGUGCAUCCGAUACUGCCGGGCUUGAGGCAGGUAGGGGAGAUCGGAAUUCCUGGUGUAGCGGUGAAAUGCGCAGAUAUCAGGAGGAACACCUGUGGCGAAAGCGGCGCACUGGACCACAACUGACGCUGAGGCGCGAAAGCUAGGGGAGCAAACAGG